UCAGAUGCACGGGGCAUGGCCGUUUAUCGCAAGAUAGAUGGAGGAAAGUCCGGACUGCACGGGACAGCGUACUGGCCAAUAUACCAGGCGGGGUGACCCGACGAUUAGAGCAACAGUGACGUAAACGAUUAAAUUCGAGUGAAACGGGCAAUCUCUGCGCGCAGCAAUUUCAAAUAGGCCCCCUAUAUGUGUCCCGCAUCGGGGGCGGGUAGAAAGCUGGACAUAUUAUAGUAAUAUAGUAUGCAGAUUAAUCAUGCCCUCUACCGCGGGGUGGUAUCCGAAAGAUACUGGCCCGAUGGCAGAACAGAAUCCGGCUUAUAUGUUCAUCUGAAAAC
rnacentral:RNase_P_RNA from 1 species